GUCAUAGGGCUGGGAGACUCAAGCCUCACAUUACUAUAUGACUAGGUCAUGUGAUAGAGUAGAAUCAGAAUAUCAGUGUUAAUACUCUAUGCCAUGGACAGGAAUACAAAAGCAAAUCUGGGAAUAUAAGCAGAAGGAUCACUCUUGAAGGUCUUCUUGGAUACGACCACAGGACACGGCCUUAUCAGAAAGUUCUAGAAGGUCAAUUCCCUGUUUUACAGACAGUGAGCAUCAAAAUCUUGAUUUCCAUCUUCAAGUGGAGUUCAUCAUUUCCAGGCAAAUGAAGAACCAGCAUAGCAAAAAGGAAUAUCAAACUCAUUAAUGAGCUUUAAGGGCCACCAAUUGAAAUACUACCUAAAUCAGCUGGAGGACAAAGAAGGUAACUUGUAAGAACUGAGAUGACAUGUUGAAAAGAGUCUUAUCUCGAUGAAAACAGAUGAUUCUGUAGGUUUCUGAGCAGAUGGACAUUCAUCUUAUAUUUUCCUGAGGCUAUUGGCAUGUGACCGGUUGAACAGUUUAAAAUAAAG
rnacentral:lncRNA from 1 species